UUUGGUGGCGAUAGCGAAGAGGCCACACCCGUUCCCAUUCCGAACACGGAAGUUAAGCUCUUCAGCGCCGAUGGUAGUUGGGGGAUCUCCCCCUGUGAGAGUAGGACGCCGCCAGGC
rnacentral:rRNA from 1 species